rnacentral:sRNA from 2 species
CGAAUGCGCAGCUAGGGUUCCGGUCCCGCGAGGGAUGCUGGUCCGAGAGCGGCCGGCUCCGCCGAUGGCGGAGCUCCACGGAGGGACAAAAGCCCGGGAGAG